UGUGACGUGUACGAGACUCCUGAGAACAGCUCUGGAACCGCGGCCCUCUGGUAUCCAGGACACUAAGGGGCUGGAAGACUGCAGACUACAUUUUCAAAUCCAUUGCCAACUGGUCUACUAUGGGAUUUCUUAAGAAAGUUCCUAGGAUGAUAUGUAAAUCUACUCUUAUUCUUUCUUUGAGCCUAGCUGUUCACACCAAGGAGUUAAAUCUUUAAGGUAAAUACCUAUUUCCUAAAGUAAGUGGUCACAGAUUAGUAUAGAAAAAAAAAAAAAUGAAGUUCUGUC
rnacentral:lncRNA from 1 species